GAUGAACGCUGGCGGCGUGCCUAAUACAUGCAAGUCGAGCGAACGGACGAGAAGCUUGCUUCUCUGAUGUUAGCGGCGGACGGGUGAGUAACACGUGGAUAACCUACCUAUAAGACUUGGAUAACUUCGGGAAACCUGAGCUAAUACCGGAUAAUAUCUUGAACCUCAUGUUUCAAAAGUGAAAGACGGUCUUGCUGUCACUUAUAGAUGGAUCCGCGCUGCAUUAGCUAGUUGGUAAGGUAACGGCUUACCAAGGCAACGAUGCAUAGCCGACCUGAGAGGGUGAUCGGCCACACUGGAACUGAGACACGGUCCAGACUACUACGGGAGGCAGCAGUAGGGAAUCGUCCGCAAUGGGCGAAAGCCUGACGGAGCAACGCCGCGUGAGUGAUGAAGGUAUUCGGAUCGUAAAACUCUGUUAUUAGGGAAGAACAUAUGUGUAAGUAACUGUGCACAUCUUGAAGGUACCUAAUCAGAAAGCAACGGCUAACUACGUG
rnacentral:rRNA from 1 species